CCCUCUCCCACACAUAACGUGACUCUCGUUUCACGUUGAGUUGGCACCAGAAGUUAGACCUGCUCGAUAGAACCGUCUGCUUCAUGCCACCCCAUCUCACAUCUCCCCUUUUCCUGCAGUGCACGUCAUCCUCCCCAUCACUACAUUAGAAGCUCAAGGAGAAGAAAACUCUGAAGGUGCAGGACAAGGAGGUGAUGGUAACGAAGCUGGCGGAGAUGAUUGAACCAAGGCCGUCACGGUGCUCGGUGAGGUGCGCCUUGUGAGGUUGGUGUGAGGUGGUGCAGGUGCCGGUUGGUGUGAGGCGGCCGGAAGCCAUUUGCGCCUGUUCAGAGCCAUCGACGACGGGGUUGACGAGAUCUCCACUAACCAGCCAUUGAACUGAAGGUGCAGAGAUCUAUAAGUUGUUGGAAGAUGCUGCUUUAGGUUAUUAGAUCCAAAAAAGAGAGAGAAAGAGAGAUACAUGAAGAGGAGUGGGGAUUGGAAGACGGCGGCUUCGCUCCUCCUCGCCUUGUUACCUUGGCGGCUGGGCUCCAUACUUCCCAGCAGCACAGCUCCAUGCUGCUAUCACGGUUGAUUUUGUUUGGGGGACCCGAUUUAGAGGCUUGCAGCAAGAGGACUAAUUACGGCGGAUUGAAACCUUGAGGUAAAAUAGUGUCCAGAUAGCGGCUGAGAAGGAUUUACAAUUUUAAAUUUAUAUGAAAUUACAAUACUUGGCUUUAUGCAUUUAGAUGUAUACAUAUUAGUGGUGGCUAGACCUUUGUGCAGUAACAUUAGGUGGUGAAGAAAGGCAUCCGAAUUAUCGUGUCCUGAGUUUAGCAUGUAGAUAGUGACAGAAAUAAAUUCUUUUUACAGCAUUUACUUGGAAAGUAAUCACAUGCCUUUAUGUUUUAGUAGCAGAAAGAGGAACCAUGCUAUCUGAAAUUAAAAUGGUGAAUUUUAUGCAUUAUUAGAACAAAUCAAUGCAUAUAUAUUCCUGAAGUUGUUUGGGAAAGUACAGGUAGCUCGUAUAUUUUUGGGGGAGUAAAGUACAACAUUGAAUUAUUUCUGUUUUUUCUAAUGGGAAAUUGGCAUGUCAGGGCUGAAGGGAAAAGACAUAUACUUUCCAUGUUCGUACUGAGACUCAUGGUAACAUAGCAGAGGCCACAGGAUCAGUUCUCCCAAAAGAGAACACAUUACUUGUUGAAUCGUCUUUUUGAAAUAAAUCUCAAUCUUGCAGGCAAAUCAGAUUAUAAUAUUUCUUUCUAAAAGAGUAGAUUAGAUCAGUGUUGUAUGAAAUAAAUAGUUACUGACUCUUACUGAUGGAAACAUGUGUUCAUGUUGUUUCUCGAUAUAUCUUGCAGGCAAAUCAGAUUAUAAUAUUUUUUUAUAGAAGAGUAGAUUAGAUCUCCAUUCCCGGCAGUUGUUUGUUUUCCAGGAAAUCGGAGUUACAUCAUUGUACUGGAAAGAGAUCAAAUAUCUCCGGAUCCUUCACCAUGUGUACAGAGGGUCAAUCUAUUUAAUCUUGUCAGUAACA